rnacentral:rRNA from 1 species
GGAAUUGCUAGUAAUCGUAGGUCAGCAUACUACGGUGAAUACGUUCCCGGGCCUUGUACACACCGCCCGUCAAACCAUGAGAGUUGGCAACACCCGAAGUCGGUAGUCUAACCGCAAGGAGGACGCCGCCGAAGGUGGGGUUGAUGAUUAGGGUUAAGUCGUAACAAGGUAUC